CAUUCACGGAGAGUUUGAUCCUGGCUCAGGACGAACGCUGGCGGCGUGCUUAACACAUGCAAGUCGAACGAUGAACCACUUCGGUGGGGAUUAGUGGCGAACGGGUGAGUAACACGUGGGCAAUCUGCCCUGCACUCUGGGACAAGCCCUGGAAACGGGGUCUAAUACCGGAUACUGACCCGCUUGGGCAUCCAAGCGGUUCGAAAGCUCCGGCGGUGCAGGAUGAGCCCGCGGCCUAUCAGCUUGUUGGUGAGGUAAUGGCUCACCAAGGCGACGACGGGUAGCCGGCCUGAGAGGGCGACCGGCCACACUGGGACUGAGACACGGCCCAGACUCCUACGGGAGGCAGCAGUGGGGAAUAUUGCACAAUGGGCGAAAGC
rnacentral:rRNA from 1 species